GGCAGUAGUUAUUAGCUACCUACAGCUUGUAAAUGCAUAGCUGGAUGAUUAGAAUGAAGUACGAUCUCAUCUCUCUUAACAUAAGCAGUCCAUUUCAGAUAGACAUGAGAAAAAUGAGAUUGAAUGAUGAUUCCUUUCCCCUCAAUGGACAACUGGAAAGACAAAUGAGAGUGGCACAAAGGAUUGAAUAUGCAUUUUUAGUGUCCUUCUGUCAAAAAUUAUCCAGCAGAACUGAAAAAUGUUCAGAGAAGAGCAACAGAAUAAUUAAACUUAAAGAAAAGCUUCCAAAAGUUGAAUGACUAAGUUAAUACAGAUCAGAAAACACAGCUCCCAGGCAUCUGCCAUUGCAACACCUCUGUGAAACAAACAGCAGGAUGCUGAAGGAUCAACUACAUUUUCCCUUUAUAUUAUGCACACUGUGGUCUCCAAUCUCAGAAGCAGGAUUCUGAGGAAGUUUGAAGCUGCAUAGAAUGAGAGUAUCCUGUCUGCUUUCAAAACCUUUCCUUAAAAGCUGUCCUGUACAGUUCACGCUAGGAUCAAAUGGUUUAAAAUGUUGUUAGAUUUACAUGGAUGUGAUUAAUAGAUUGCUGUGUUUUUAAAUGGGUGAGUUAUUAUUUUUACAUAAAAGUCUAGAAAAAAAUCCUUCUUGAUAAUAAACAAAAUGAAAAAUACUGGCUACAUCUUAGUCAAGCUGUUUUUGCUACCAGAUUUAGGAAAAACAUUCCCUAGUAGAAGCUGUGACUGUUAGCACAGUGUCAGGGCUGUCAGCUCCAUGCCCAGAAGUUGCUGGCUGUUAAAGAAGCCUCUGUCUCCUGGGAGUUUCUAAACUUGUAAGGAAAGGAAAUAUUUCUGGACCACUAUUAAUUUUCCAUACCACAGUAGGUUGCCACUAUAGUUAAAUUUACAGCCCUUAUUUGCUUGUGGGGGCAAUUAAACUACAGUUGGCCAUGAACUUGACUUAAACACCUAUCAUUUAAAUCAUAUAAGCCAGUGCAGAGAGAGUUAAAUAUUCCCAGCCAACAAAAUACAGAUAACUUCUUGCAUGUGCACACACAAGACAGAAAGAUACUUUAAUAUGUUAUGUUAUGGAUCUCAGCAUAGAUUUUCUCUUUCACUUGCAGGAGCAAAAAUUAACU